UCCCUUCUGUGGUCACAAGAGGACCCUUACAGUUUACAGGACUACAGGGGAUGAAGGGUUAGAAAGGAUGAUGAUCCAAGGACCCAGUGAGACAAACCGAGAGUGUGAGGUGGUUUACCAGAUGCCUGCUCUGGUGCCUUCCAACAGACACUGCCACAAGAAAGGUGAGGUGUUCCACGUAAACAACAGGAUCGAACUCAGGCCCUUGCACUUGCAAGGCAGGUGUGGCACCACUGAGCUAAAUCCCAGGCCCUUGAAAGUUAUUUAAGAUUUUGAAAAUCCCAAAGAAUCUACUAAAAACUAUUAGAAUUAGAAAAUGAGUUCAGCAAAGUUGAGGGCAUAAGAUCAAUAUAAAAUGAUCAAUUGUGUUUUUUUGUUUGUUUGUUUUGUUUUUUGGUACCGGGGAUCAAACUCGGGACCUUGUGCUUGUGAGGCAGA
rnacentral:lncRNA from 1 species